CCAUCGCAAGCAAUGCCGCUCCAACUACCAAGGCAAUAGGACCAGACCUUCAAAAUGCACAACUCAUCAGCACUUUAUCUCACCAAGUCACCAUGGAUAAAGCCUCUGACUCAAUGAUGCCGCUCCAACUAUCAAUGCAAUAGGACCAGACCUGCAAGACACACAACACUCAUCAGCAAUUUAACUCACCAUGGAUAAAGCCUAUGACUGAAUUAUAUAUAAACUGAAAUCACAUAAUGAUAACAACAGUUAGCAUAACCUUGAGUGCCAUUGAUCGCAUUUCAGAACACGCAAAAGCCUCAUUUAGUGAAAAAUCUAAAGAACAAAAAAACAACAGCAUGACCUGCUUAAUAACCUAAAAGAUACUAUAUCAUUUUUGUCCAUCAUGGGCCUUGAACUUUUGUAUUCCUUAGUUGAUCUACUCAUUGAUUUGUGUUUGCUGAGGUAUGUAUAAUUAUUUGAAAGAUCAUCCAUGCAUGAUGUAUGAGUUGGCCACGACGCAAAGAAUAGUUAUAUCAGAGUUAAGAAAGACGAAUGAAUAAAUCAAGCUUGGGCUACGCCACUCAAAACAUAGUCUGUGUCAUAUUCAAUUAUGAUGACAUUAACUACCCAGAGUCUCCUCAUCUAGUAUCGGGAUGGAUAGCAGUUAAUGCAGAUAUUAACCCCGAUCUUGGAUGGUAAAUUAUAUUUUGGACCCCUUUCAACUAUGAAACCAAGGAAAAAACCACGGUUAAUAAAAUGUAGAAGAUUAAAUAGCUAAUACAGUUGUGUUAAAAUAUGAUACGGGAGUAACUGUUGGGUUGCAACCUGAAACAUUCCAUCAGCGAUAAACCCUGCACCUAGUAAAAUUUGAAACAUCGCUCAAGGAAGGAGAUAAUUGGUACACUUACUUAGAAAUUGAACAGAUGAAGAAAAUUUGAUCACUUAAACAAUAAAUGAAGUAUGGUAGCUAUUAUUUCUGAUACUGGGAAGCUACAAAAUAGAACAUUACAUCAGGAAAGAAUAUGAGUCAUUUUGAUCUAAGUGUGUUAAAUUAAUCGGUCAGCAAUCUGGUGUAACCAAUAAUUAUAAAAUGUCAUUUGGAAACAUGUCUCUACUGAAUCAACACCGUAGCAUCUCAAAAGAUUACUCAAUGAAUAAAAUUUCCAUGUAACAUAAUUGGUCAUACAAGAAGACUUAGAUAGGCAUCAUGGUAUAAUAGUUUGGUGUCAAGACUGUAUAUACAUUAGAAUUUUCUUCUCGGGCAUGGUCUGGCCAACUGACCACAUCCCAACCAAAAGUUUGUAUCCAUAACUUUCUUUUGCACUACUUGUUGGGUAACGUCGUAAUUUCAAAAAAAUUCCUACGCACACGCAAGAUCAUGGUGAUGCAUAGCAACGAGAGGGGAGAGUGUGAUCUACGUACCCUUGUAGAUCGACAACGGAAGCGUUAGCACAACGUGGUUGAUGUAGUCGUACGUCUUCACGGUCCGACCGAUCAAGCAGCGAAACUACGGCACUUCCGAGUUCUAGCACACGUUCAGCUCGAUGACGAUCCCCGGACUCCGAUCCAGCUAAGUGUCGGGGAAGAGUUCCGUCAGCACGACGGCAUGGUGACGAUCUUGAUGUACUACCGUCGCAGGGCUUCGCCUAAGCACCACUACAAUAUUAUCGAGGACUAUGGUGGAAGGGGGCACCACACACGGCUAAGAAUAUGAUCACGUGGAUCAACUUGUGUCUCUAGGGGUGCUCCCUACCUCCGUAUAUAAAGGAUCAAAGGGGGGGUGCGGCCGGCCAGGAGACGACGCGCCAGGAGGAGUCCUACUCCCUCCGGGAGUAGGAUUCCCCCCCCCCCCUUCCCUAGUUGGAAUAGGAUUCGGGAGGAGGGGAAAGAGGAGAGAGAGAAGGAAGGGGGGCGCCGGCCCCCUCUCCUUGUCCUAUUCAGACUAAGGGGGGAGGGGCGCACGGCCCAACCCUGUCCACCUCUCCUCUCUUCCACUAAGGCCCACUAAGGCCCAUAUACCUCCCGGGGGGUUCCGGUAACCUCCUGGUACUCCGGUAAAAUCCCGAUUUCACCCAGAACACUUCCGAUAUCCAAAUAUAGGCUUCCAAUAUAUCAAUCUUUAUGUCUCGACCAUUUUGAGACUCCUCGGCAUGUCCGUGAUCACAUCCGGGACUCCGAACAAACUUUGGUACAUCAAAAUGCAUAAACUCAUAAUAUAACUGUCAUCGAAACCUUAAGCGCGCGGACCCUACGGGUUCGAGAACAAUGUAGACAUGAUCGAGACAUGUCUCCGGUCAAUAACCAAUAGCGGAACCUGGAUGCUCAUAUUGGCUCCUACAUAUUCUACGAAGAUCUUUUAUCGGUCAGACCGCAUAACAACAUACGUUGUUCCCUUUGUCAUCGGUAUGUUACUUGUCCGAGAUUCGAUCGUCGGUAUCUCAAUACCUAGUUCAAUCUCGUUACCGGCAAGUCUCUUUACUCGUUCCGUAAUACAUCAUCUCACAACUAACUCAUUAGUUGCAAUGCUUGCAAGGCUUAUGUGAUGUGCAUUACCGAGAGGGCCCAGAGAUACCUCUCCGACAAUCGGAGUGAUAAAUCCUAAUCUCGAAAUACGCCAACCCAACAUGUACCUUUGGAGACACCUGUAGAGCACCUUUAUAAUCACUCAAUUACGUUGUGACGUUUGGUAGCACACAAAGUGUUCCUCCGGUAAACGGGAGUUGCAUAAUCUCAUAGUCAUAGGAACAUGUAUAAGUCAUGAAGAAAGCAAUAGCAACAUACUAAACGAUCGGGUGCUAAGCUAAUGGAAUGGGUCAUGUCAAUCAGAUCAUUCACCUAAUGAUGUGAUCCCGUUAAUCAAAUAACAACUCUUUGUCCAUGGUUAGGAAACAUAACCAUCUUUGAUUAACGAGCUAGUCUAGUAGAGGCAUACUAGUGACACUCUGUUUGUCUAUGUAUUCACACAUGUAUUAUGUUUCCGGUUAAUACAAUUCUAGCAUGAAUAAUAAACAUUUAUCAUGAUAUAAGGAAACAAAUAAUAACUUUAUUAUUGCCUCUAGGGCAUAUUUCCUUCAGUCUCCCACUUGCACUAGAGUCAAUAAUCUAGAUUAUACAUUAAUGAUUCUAACACCCAUGGAGCCUUGGUGCUGAUCAUGUUUUGCUCGUGGAAGAGGCUUAGUCAACGGAUCUGCUACAUUCAGAUCCGUAUGUAUCUUGCAAAUCUCUAUGUCUCCCACCUGGACUAGAUCCCGGAUGGAAUUGAAGCGUCUCUUGAUGUGCUUUGUUCUCUUGUGAAAUCUGGAUUCCUUUGCCAAGGCAAUUGCACCAGUAUUGUCACAAAAGAUUUUCAUUGGACCCGAUGCACUAGGUAUGACACCUAGAUCGGAUAUGAACUCCUUCAUCUAGACUCCUUCAUUUGCUGCUUCCGAAGCAGCUAUGUAUUCCGCUUCACACGUAGAUCCCGCCACGACGCUUUGUUUAUAACUGCACCAACUGACAGCUCCACCGUUUAAGGUAAAUACGUGUCCGGUUUGCGAUUUAGAAUCGCCCGGAUCAGUGUCAAAGCUCGCAUCGACGUAACCACUUACGAUUAGCUCUUUGUCACCUCCAUAAACGAGAAACAUAUCCUUAGUCCUUUUCAGGUAUUUCAGGAUGUUCUUGACCGCUGUCCAGUGAUCCACUCCUGGAUUACUUUGGUACCUCCCUGCUAGACUUAUAGCAAGGCACACAUCAGGUCUGGUACACAGCAUUGCAUACAUGAUAGAGCCUAUGGCUGAAGCAUAGGGAACAUCUUCCAUUUUCUCUCUAUCUUCUGCAGUGGUCGGGCAUUGAGUCUGACUCAACUUCACACCUUGUAACAUAGGCAAGAACCCUUUCUUUGCUUGAUCCAUUUUAAACUUCUUCAAAACUUUGUCAAGGUGUGUGCUUUGUGAAAGUCCAAUUAAGCGUCUUGAUCUAUCUCUAUAGAUCUUAAUGCCUAAUAUGUAAGCAGCUUCACCGAGGUCUUUUAUUGAAAAACUCUUAUUCAAGUAUCCCUUUAUGCUAUCCAGAAAUUCUAUAUCAUUUCCAAUUAGUAAUAUGUCAUCCACAUAUAAUAUCAGAAAUGCUACAGAGCUCCCACUCACUUUCUUGUAAAUACAGGCUUCUCCAAAAGUCUGUAUAAAACCAAAUGCUUUGAUCACACUAUCAAAGCGUUUAUUCCAACUCCGAGAGGCUUGCACCAGUCCAUAAAUGGAUCGUUGGAGCUUGCACACUUUGUUAGCUCCCUUUGGAUCGACAAAACCUUCUGGUUGCAUCAUAUACAACUCUUCUUCCAGAAAUCCAUUCAGGAAUGCAGUUUUGACAUCCAUCUGCCAAAUUUCAUAAUCAUAAAAUGCGGCAAUUGCUAACUUGAUUCGGACAGACUUAAGCAUCGCUACGGGUGAGAAGGUCUCAUCGUAGUCAAUCCCUUGAACUUGCCGAAAACCUUUUGCGACAAGUCGAGCUUUGUAGACAGUAAUAUUACCGUCAGCAUCCGUCUUCUUCUUGAAGAUCCAUUUAUUCUCAAUUGCUUGCCGAUCAUUGGGCAAGUCAACCAAAGUCCAUACUUUGUUCUCAUACAUGGAUCCCAUCUCAGAUUUCAUGGCUUCAAGCCAUUUUGCGGAAUCUGGGCUCACCAUCGCUUCUUCAUAGUUCGUAGGUUCAUCAUGAUCUAGUAGCAUGACUUUCAGAACAGGGUUACCGUACCACUCUGGUGCGGAUCUUAUUCUGGUUGAUCUACGAGGUUCAGUAGUAUCUUGUUAUGAAGUUUCAUGAUCAUCAUCAUUAGCUUCCUCACUAAUUGGUGUAGGUGUCACAGAAACAUGUUUCUGUGAUGUACUACUUUCCAGUAAGGGAGUAGGUACAGUUACCUCGUCAAGUUCUACUUUCCUCCCACUCACUUCUUUCGAGAGAAACUCCUUCUCCAGAAAGUUUCCGAAUUUAGCAACAAAAGUCUUGCCUUCGGAUCUGUGAUAGAAGGUGUAUCCAAUAGUUUCCUUUGGAUAUCCUAUAAAGACACAUUUUUCCGAUUUGGGUUCGAGCUUAUCAGGUUGAAGCUUUUUCACAUAAGCAUCACAUCCCCAAACUUUCAGAAACGACAACUUUGGUUUCUUGCCAAACUAUAGUUCAUAAGGCGUCGUCUCAACGGAUUUUGAUGGUGCCCUAUUUAACGUGAAUGCGGUCGUCUCUAGAGCGUAUCCUCAAAAUGAUAGCGGUAAAUCAGUAAGAGACAUCAUAGAUCGUACCAUAUCUAGUAAAGUACGAUUACGACGUUCGGACACACCAUUACGCUGUGGUGUUCCGGGUGGCGUGAGUUGCGAAACUAUUCCACAUUGUUUCAAAUGUACACCAAACUCGUAACUCAAAUAUUCUCCUCCAUGAUCAGAUCAUAGGAAUUUUAUUUUCUUGUUACGAUGAUUUUCAACUUCACUCUAAAAUUCUUCGAACUUUUCAAACGUUUUAGACUUGUGUUUCAUUAAGUAGAUAUACCCAUAUCUGCUUAAGUCAUCUGUGAAGGUGAGAAAAUAAUGAUAUCCGCCACGAGCCUCAACAUUCAUCGAACCACAUACAUCUGUAUGUAUGAUUUCUAACAAAUAUGUUGCUCUCUCCAUAGUACCGGAGAAUGGUGUUUUUGUCAUCUUACCCAUAAGGCACGGUUCGCAAGUACCAAGUGAUUCAUAAUCAAAUGGUUCCAAAAGCCCAUCAGUAUGGAGUUUCUUCAUGCGCUUUAUACCGAUAUGACCCAAACGGCAGUGCCACAAAUAAGUUGCACUAUCAUUAUCAACUCUGCAUCUUUUGGUUUCAACACUAUGAAUAUGUGUGUCACUACUAUCGAGAUUUAAUAAGAAUAGACCACUCUUUAAGGGUGCAUGACCAUAAAAGAUAUUGCUCAUGUAAAUAGAACAACCAUUAUUCUCUGAUUUAAAUGAAUAGCCGUCUCGCAUCAAACAAGAUCCAGAUAUAAAAUGUUCAUGCUUAACGCUGGCACCAAAUAACAAUUAUUUAGGUCUAAUAUUAAUCCCGAAGGUAGAUGUAGAGGUAGCGUGCCGACUGCGAUCACAUCGACUUUGGAACCAUUUCCCACGCGCAUCGUCACCUCGUCCUUAGCCAAUCUUCGCUUAAUCCGUAGUCCCUGUUUCGAGUUGCAAAUAUUAGCAAUAGAACCAGUAUCAAAUACCCAGGUGCUACUGCGAGCAUUAGUAAGGUACACAUCAAUAACAUGUAUAUCACAUAUACCUUUGUUCACCUUGCCAUCCUUCUUAUCCGCCAAAUACUUGAGGCAGUUCCGCUUCCAGUGACCAGUCUGCUUGCAGUAGAAGCACUCAGUUUCAGGCUUAGGUCCAGGUUUGGGUUUCUUCUCUUGAGCAGCAACUUGCUUGCUGUUCUUUUUGAAGUUCCCCUUCUUCUUCCCUUUGCCCUUUUUCUUGAAACUAGUGGUCUUGUUGACCAUCAACACUUGAUGCUCCUUCUUGAUUUCUACCUCCGCAGCUUUCAGCAUUGCGAAGAGCUCGGAAAUAGUCUUAUUCAUCCCUUGCAUAUUAUAGUUCAUCACGAAGCUCUUGUAGCUUGGUGGCAGUGAUUGGAGAAUUCUGUCAAUGACGCAAUCAUCUGGAAGAUUAACUCCCAAUUGAAUCAAGUGAUUAUUAUACCCAGACAUUUUGAGUAUAUGCUCACUGACAUAACUGUUCUCCUCCAUCUUGCAGCUAUAGAAUUUAUUGGAGACUUCAUAUCUCUCAAUCCAGGCAUUUGCUUGAAAUAUUAACUUCAACUCCUGGAACAUCUCAUAUGCUCCAUGACGUUCAAAACAUCGUUGAAGUCCCGAUUCUAAGCCGUAAAGCAUGGCACACUGAACUAUCGAGUAGUCAUCAGCUUUGCUCUGCCAGAUGUUCAUAACAUCUGGUGUUGCUCCAGCAGUAGGCCUGGCACCCAGCGGUGCUUCCAGGACGUAAUUCUUCUGUGCAGCAAUGAGGAUAAUCCUCAAGUUAUAGACCCAGUUCGUGUAAUUGCUACCAUCAUCUUUCAACGGAACAACAACAUGGGCCAUCUAUCUACAAUCAAACAUGAAUAAGCAAGAUACUAUCAGGUACUAAGUUCAUGAUAAAUUUAGGUUCAAUUAAUCAUAUUACUUAAAGAACUCCCACUUACAUAGACAUCCCUCUAAUCCUCUAAGUGAUUACGUGAUCCAAAUCAACUAAACCAUGUCCGAUCAUCACGUGAGAUGGAGUAGCUUCAUUGGUGAACAUCACUAUGUUGAUCAUAUGUACUAUAUGAUUCAUGCUCGACCUUUCGGUCUCUGUGUUCCGAGGCCAUAUCUGUAUAUGCUUGGCUCGUCAAGUAUAACCUGAGUAUUCCGCGUGUGCAACUGUUUUGCACCCGUUGUAUUUGAACGUAGAGCCUAUCACACCCGAUCAUCACGUGGUGUCUCAGCACGAAGAACUUUCGCAACGGUGCAUACUCAGGGAGAACACUUCUUGAUAAUUAGUGAGAGAUCAUCUUAUAAUGCUACCGUCAAUCAAAGCAAGAUAAAAUGCAUAAAAGAUAAACAUCACAUGCAAUCAAUAUAAGUGAUAUGAUAUGGCCAUCAUCAUCUUGUGCUUGUGAUCUCCAUCUUCGAAACACUGUCAUGAUCACCAUCGUCACCGGCGCGACACCCUGAUCUCCAUUGUAGCAUCGUUGUCGUCUCGCCAAUCUUAUGCUUCCACGACUAUUGCUACCGCUUAGUGAUAAAGUAAAGCAUUACAGCGCGAUUGCAUUGCAUACAAUAAAGCGACAACCAUAUGGCUCCUGCCAGUUGCCGAUAACUCGGUUACAAAACAUGAUCAUCUCAUACAAUAAAAUUCAGCAUCAUGUCUUGACCAUAUCACAUCACAACAUGCCCUGCAAAAACAAGUUAGACGUCCUCUACUUUGUUGUUGCAAGUUUUACGUGGCUGCUACGGUCUUAAGCAAGAACCAAUCUUACCUACGCAUCAAAACCACAAUGAUAGUUUUCAAGUUGGUGCUGUUUUAACCUUCGCAAGGACCGGGCAUAGCCACACUCGGUUCAACUAAAGUUGGAGAAACUGUCACCCGCUAGCCACCUUUGUGCAAAGCACGUCGGGAGAACUGGUCUCGCAUAAGCGUACGCGUAAUGUCGGUCCGGGCCACUUCGUCCAACAAUACCGCCGAACCAAAGUAUGACAUGCUGGUAAGCAGUAUGACUUAUAUCGCCCACAACUCACUUGUGUUCUACUCGUGCAAAUAACAUCAACACAUAAAACCUAGGCUCUGAUACCACCGUUGGGUAACGUAGUAAUUUCAAAAAAUUUCCUACGCACACGCAAGAUCAUGGUGAUGCAUAGCAACGAGAGGGGAGAGUGUGAUCUACGUACCCUUGUAGAUCGACAACGGAAGCGUUAGCACAACGUGGUUGAUGUAGUCGUACGUCUUCACGGCCCGACCGAUCAAGCACCGAAACUACGACACCUCCGAGUUCUAGCACACGUUCAGCUCGAAGACGAUCCCCGGACUCUGAUCCAGCAAAGUGUCGGGGAAGAGUUCCGUCAGCACGACGGCGUGGUGACGAUCUUGAUGUACUACCGUCGCAGGGCUUCGCCUAAGCACCGCUACAAUAUUAUCGAGGACUAUGGUGGAAGGGGGCACCGCACACGGCUAAGAAUAGUUCACGUGGAUCAACUUGUGUCUCUAGGGGUGCUCCCUGCCUCCGUAUAUAAAGGAUCAAAGGGGGGGUGCGGCCGGCCAGGAGAGGGCGCGCCAGGAGGAGUCCUACUCCCUCCGGGAGUAGGAUUCCCCCCUUUCCUAGUUGGAAUAGGAUUCAGGAGGAGGGGAAAGAGGAGAGAGAGAAGGAAGGGGGGCGCCGGCCCCCUCUCCUUGUCCUAUUCGGACUAAGGGGGGAGGGGCACACGGCCCAGCCCUGGCCACCUCUCCUCUCUUCCACUAAGGCCCACUAAGGCCCAUAUACCUCCCGGGGGGUUCCGGUAACCUCCCGGUACUCCGGUAAAAUCCCGAUUUCACCCGGAACACUUCCGAUAUCCAAAUAUAGGCUUCCAAUAUAUCAAUCUUUAUGUCUCGACCAUUUCGAGACUCCUCGUCAUGUCCGUGAUCACAUCCGGGACUCCGAACAAACUUCGGUACAUCAAAAUGCAUAAACUCAUAAUAUAACUGUCAUCGAAACCUUAAGCGUGCGGACCCUACGGGUUCGAGAACAAUGUAGACAUGACCGAGACAUGUCUCCGGUCAAUAACCAAUAGCGGAACCUGGAUGCUCAUAUUGGCUCCUACAUAUUCUACGAAGAUCUUUUAUCGGUCAGACUGCAUAACAACAUACGUUGUUCCCUUUGUCAUCGGUAUGUUACUUGUCCGAGAUUCGAUCGUCGGUAUCUCAAUACCUAGUUCAAUCUCGUUACCGGCAAGUCUCUUUACUCGUUCUGUAAUACAUCAUCUCACAACUAACUCAUUAGUUGCAAUGUUUGCAAGGGUUAUGUGAUGUGCAUUACCGAGAGGGCCCAGAGAUACCUCUCCGACAAUCGGAGUGACAAAUCCUAAUCUCGAAAUACGCCAACCCAACAUGUACCUUUGGAGACACCUAUAGAGCACCUUUAUAAUCACCCAGUUACGUUGUGACGUUUGGUAGCACACAAAGUGUUCCUCCGGUAAACGGGAGUUGCAUAAUCUCAUAGUCAUAGGAACAUGUAUAAGUCAUGAAGAAAGCAAUAGCAACAUACUAAACGAUCGGGUGCUAAGCUAAUGGAAUGGGUCAUGUCAAUCAGAUCAUUCACCUAAUGAUGUGAUCCCAUUAAUCAAAUAACAACUCUUUGUCCAUGGUUAGGAAACAUAACCAUCUUUGAUUAACGAGCUAGUCUAGUAGAGGCAUACUAGUGACACUCUGUUUGUCUAUGUAUUCACACAUGUAUUAUGUUUCCGGUUAAUACAAUUCUAGCAUGAAUAAUAAACAUUUAUCAUGAUAUAAGGAAAUAAAUAAUAACUUUAUUAUUGCCUCUAGGGUAUAUUUCCUUCACUACUUCCAACGUUUUGUUCCAAUUGUUAGUCAUCAAAGGGAAAUUGGAUACUGCACAUGACCAUAUGUGAUAAAACAUACUCCAUAGAGCACAUGAACUAUGAAAGGGAGUACUGCACUUGGCACCUUCCACAUGUUAGAGAUAGAACAUGACAAAUAAAAGGUCAUGCUUCUCAUCUUUAAUAGUUCCAAGGUGACUAAACUUACCCCUGUUUUCAACACCUUCCACAUUAUUCUAGCCACUUAAAUUAUCCUCCCUGUUGAGCGGCACUUGAAGGUGUUAAUCAUCUACAAAACUCCUCAACAACAGGAGUUACAUUAUCAUCUGAAGGAUCCCUGAGAAAAGCCUAGCCAAAACCAGUAAUUAUGAGUAUAUCACAAGAUUGCUCAACAAAGAAAAAAUAUAGACCGCAUAUCUAGUCUAUAAUCUAGAUAGGUGAGAACUCCUAGGCCAUAUUUUAAGAUGCACACAGAUCAUGCUUUUCAGCUCACCGGACACUGUCCCUAUCAAGUCGAGAUAGG
rnacentral:lncRNA from 1 species